AUUGGGAUUGCUGGGUCAUAUGGUGGUUCUGUGUUCAACUUUUUGAGGAACUGCCAAACUGCUUUCCACAGCAGCUGUACCAUUUUGCAUUCCCACCAGCAAU
rnacentral:pre_miRNA from 1 species